UGGGGAAUAUUGGACAAUGGGGGCAACCCUGAUCCAGCCAUGCCGCGUGAGUGAUGAAGGCCUUCGGGUUGUAAAGCUCUUUUGGCGGGGACGAUGAUGACGGUACCCGCAGAAUAAGCCCCGGCUAACUUCGUGCCAGCAGCCGCGGUAAGACGAAGGGGGCUAGCGUUGUUCGGAAUUACUGGGCGUAAAGCGAGUGUAGGCGGUUGCCGUAGUCAGGUGUGAAAGCCUUGAGCUCAACUCAAGAAAUGCACUUGAUACUGGGUGACUAGAGGACCGGAGAGGAUAGUGGAAUUCCCAGUGUAGUGGUGAAAUACGUAGAGAUUGGGAAGAACACCAGUGGCGAAGGCGGCUAUCUGGACGGUUACUGACGCUAAGACUCGAAAGCGUGGGGNGCAAACAGGAUUAGAUACCCCUGGUAGUCCACGCCGUAAACGAUGGGUGCUAGACGUUGGCGAGCUUG
rnacentral:rRNA from 1 species